GGGUAGAUGUCCGAGUGGCUGAAGGAGCACGCCUGGAACGCGUGUGUAGGGCAACUUACCGGGGGUUCAAAUCCCUCUCUACCCGCCA
rnacentral:tRNA from 1 species